rnacentral:rRNA from 1 species
CGUACACUCCUGCGGGAGGCAGCAGUGGGGAAUAUUGGACAAUGGGCGCAAGCCUGAUCCAGCCAUGCCGCGUGAGUGAUGAAGGCCCUAGGGUUGUAAAGCUCUUUCACCGGUGAAGAUAAUGACGGUAACCGGAGAAGAAGCCCCGGCUAACUUCGUGCCAGCAGCCGCGGUAAUACGAAGGGGGCUAGCGUUGUUCGGAUUUACUGGGCGUAAAGCGCACGUAGGCGGACUAUUAAGUCAGGGGUGAAAUCCCGGGGCUCAACCCCGGAACUGCCUUUGAUACUGGUAGUCUUGAGUUCGAGAGAGGUGAGUGGAAUUCCGAGUGUAGAGGUGAAAUUCGUAGAUAUUCGGAGGAACACCAGUGGCGAAGGCGGCUCACUGGCUCGAUACUGACGCUGAGGUGCGAAAGCGUGGGGAGCAAACAGGAUUAGAAACCCCGGUAGUCCCAUG